CGCUCACUCGCUAUCUCGGCCGCCAGACGCCGCCGCCGCCGCCGCCCCGCCGCUCUAGCUCCGUCUGUCACAGGAGCUGCCCCAACGCCCUGACGUCACCGCGCCGCCGCCGCUGCCGCCGCCGCCCCAGACCCGUCGGGAAGGAGGGGGGCGGGAGAGGAGGCGGAGCUGCGGCGCAUGCGCCGGCCUGGCCGGGCUCCGGGCAGCGCUGGCUUCCGCUGAGCCGGCGGUACCCUGGAGCCGGUGAGCGAGGUGGCGCACGAGCCGCUGCUUCUCGCGCCCUGCGCGCCUCCGUAACCUUCGAAAUAGUCUCUCGGUUCUCUUUCCCUAGACCCUGGUGUGAUUGUUCGGGCCCAUGACGAACUCCCCGCCCUGUUCUUGCCGAUAAACAACAAUCUCCCCAGUUGCGCCCACCAACAGCGGGACCCUCUAGCAUCCGUGGAGUCCGGGGCCCCGAUAGGCUUCGGAAUAAAGCCGACUCUGGGCCACGCCGUCGACCCUUCUACUUCCAGCUUUCGAGUUUAUUACCUAGUUUGGGGCUGUGCGUUGGAAGCAGGUUGGGUUCGCUUGGGGAGAAGAGCCGUUGAGGUUAAAAGGCUGAUGGAAUGCCCAAUUGUCUUCACUUUUAUUAUAGAUUUUUAAUUGGGGCAAUUUGCUUUUAGAUGUGAUUCAGCUAUUCUUUUCCUUAGUCUCUCUCACACACACAUCUGAGAAUCUGAAAGUCUCAAAACUGAAGCCCAAGAAAAGAUCUGGAACUUUACCCUUACAAGGUAUCUAGUGUGGUUAUUUCAUCAAUAAUUUUCAUUGUCCAAGGAAACUCUUUUCCUGAAACAUGUAAGUUUAAGGUUAUGUUCAUUGAUUUUAUUACUUCCCUUUAUGUCGGUAAAUACAUACACCGCCUUCGGAGAAGCAGCUGAGUUAAUGAAAGAAAUAAUUUGGGUAUGAAUCCUGGAUGAGCCGCUUACCAGAAGUAUGACCUUGGCUAAAUUACUCUCUCUGGCCUGGGCUUCUCAUGAAAUAGACUUAGUAAAUAACUAAUUUGUAAGGCUUUUGUGAGAAUUAGAGGAUGCUGCAUGUGUAAAGUAGACUGCCUUAGUUAGGAAUCACAGGUAACUCGUGUAACCGUUACUGUAGCUUGGUACCAACACAGGUUUCCUUUUAUCAAAAAAGGUCGUCUCUAUCCCUGGAGGUGUUCAAGAGGAACAGGAGUGAAUUGCCUGGAGGGUUUGGUUUUCUCCUUGAUGAAGGCAGAGAAGGAAAUCAAAUGGUCUCUGCAAGGUCUUUUUCAGAUUUACAGUUAAGGGGUUCUCUAGUUAGAUAAGGACAAAACGAGGGAUAGAGAAGUCUGUGCUACAUCCAGUAACAGGAAAUAAACAUGAAAUAAAUUAACAUCUCUUCUUCUAAAAAUCUACUUUCGGUUCAUUUCUGUCUUUUAAAAUAUUAUUUAUUGUUGCCUGAUAUCACACUUCUUAAUAUUUAAUUGGCUGAGUAAAUCAGUUCUUUAUUUUUUAAGCCAGAAUAUGUAUAUUUUAUUUUUAUUUUAUUAUUUUCUUUAUUGAUUAAGGAAUUACAUAUGUGUCCUUAUCCCCUCGUUGAGUUCUUUAUUGUCUUAAAUGAAUGUUCCAAAAGCCAACACAAUUGUCCAGAAUAAUCUUAGGAUCACAUUAAUAAACACUGAUUUAAUGCAAAUUGGUAGCACUAAUCCCUAUAAACCUUGAGUUAAUAGACUCAUAUGUUUACAAUAUUUUAAAAUCUGUAUUAUGUAAUUAUGUACUAAAUUGAGACCAGGUUUUAUUUUUAUAACAAUCCUUAAGAAACAUACACCAAUAAACCUGCUUGGAAGGAAUGUGUAAAAACUUUCUUCCUCAAUAAUAAUUUUUCAGAACAGAAAUAAAACUGUUAUAUGCUUGAUAUGGAGCAAUGUGCUCUGCUUCUGUGCACUUUCUUUUCAGUCGCUAAAAUAAUAGCUCUAUCUUAUUGAACACUUGUCUAUUGAGACUGUAGAAUUAGGACAUCUAUGCUAUCAAUCAUAAUUCAUAAGGACUUACACAGGUCCUACGAGAAUGCAUCCACCAGGAAACAUUUAAUAAUGAAUAUUUUAGAUGAUGUUUCUUGAAAAAAAAAGUAUAAACAUCCAUUUUACUUACAGCCCAAGGAAAGAUCUGAAACUAACAAUCCCCCCAUUCAUUUGCAUUGCAAAUCUAUAUUUUUCAAGUAAACAUUUCCAAAAUGGAAACAUUUGUUUUAAUUGUUGCAGUAAAAUUGGUGUUAGUUUAAACAGUGCUGCAAAUAAGCUGAUUGGAAGAAACACUCCAAAAAUAUUGCUAUUGGGGAGAGGACAAAAUGUCUUCUAAAAGUAGCUCCAGAGCUAAAAUCUGUUUACAAUGAACACAAAUGUUAAAAUAUUGUUUUGAUAAUUAAACUGUCUCCUGUUUAUAGACAAA